rnacentral:rRNA from 1 species
CGGAGCAAUGCCGCGUGAGUGAUGAAGGUUUUCGGAUCGUAAAGCUCUGUUGCCAGGGAAGAACGCUUGGGAGAGUAACUGCUCUCAAGGUGACGGUACCUGAGAAGAAAGCCCCGGCUAACUACGUGCCAGCAGCCGCGGUAAUACGUAGGGGGCAAGCGUUGUCCGGAAUUAUUGGGCGUAAAGCGCGCGCAGGCGGUCAUUUAAGUCUGGUGUUUAAUCCCGGGGCUCAACCCCGGAUCGCACUGGAAACUGGGUGACUUGAGUGCAGAAGAGGAGAGUGGAAUUCCACGUGUAGCGGUGAAAUGCGUAGAUAUGUGGAGGAACACCAGUGGCGAAGGCGACUCUCUGGGCUGUAACUGACGCUGAGGCGCGAAAGCGUGGGGAGCAAACAGGAUUAGAUACCCUG